UAAUACGUAGGGUGCGAGCGUUAAUCGGAAUUACUGGGCGUAAAGCGUGCGCAGGCGGUUUUGUAAGUCAGAUGUGAAAUCCCCGGGCUUAACCUGGGAACUGCGUUUGAAACUGCAAGGCUAGAGUGUGGCAGAGGGGGGUGGAAUUCCGCGUGUAGCAGUGAAAUGCGUAGAGAUGUGGAGGAACACCGAUGGCGAAGGCAGCCCCCUGGGCUAACACUGACGCUCAGGCACGAAAGCAUGGGGAGCAAACAGGAUUAGAUACCCUGGUAGUCCAUGCCCUAAACGAUGUCAACUAGUUGUCGGGCCUUAACAGGCUUGGUAACGUAGCUAACGCGUGAAGUUGACCGCCUGGGGAGUACGAUCGCAAGAUUA
rnacentral:rRNA from 1 species